UACGAAGGGGGCUAGCGUUGCUCGGAAUCACUGGGCGUAAAGGGUGCGUAGGCGGGUUUUUAAGUCAGAGGUGAAAUCCUGGAGCUCAACUCCAGAACUGCCUUUGAUACUGAGAAUCUUGAGUUCGGGAGAGGUGAGUGGAACUGCGAGUGUAGAGGUGAAAUUCGUAGAUAUUCGGAAGAACACCAGUGGCGAAGGCGACACACUGGCCCGUAACUGACGCUGAGGCGCGAAAGCGUGGGGAGCAAACGGG
rnacentral:rRNA from 1 species